AGUGAACACUGGCGGUAGGCCUAACACAUGCAAGUUGAACGGCAGCACAGUAAGAGCUUGCUCUUACGGGUGGCGAGUGGCGGACGGGUGAGGAAUACAUCGGAAUCUACUUUUUCGUGGGGGAUAACGUAGGGAAACUUACGCUAAUACCGCAUACGACCUACGGGUGAAAGCAGGGGAUCUUCGGACCUUGCGCGAUUGAAUGAGCCGAUGUCGGAUUAGCUAGUUGGCGGGGUAAAGGCCCACCAAGGCGACGAUCCGUAGCUGGUCUGAGAGGAUGAUCAGCCACACUGGAACUGAGACACGGUCCAGACUCCUACGGGAGGCAGCAGUGGGGAAUAUUGGACAAUGGGCGCAAGCCUGAUCCAGCCAUACCGCGUGGGUGAAGAAGGCCUUCGGGUUGUAAAGCCCUUUUGUUGGGAAAGAAAAGCAGCAGGUUAAUACCCCGCUGUUCUGACGGUACCCAAAGAAUAAGCACCGGCUAACUUCGUG
rnacentral:rRNA from 1 species